GUAACACGUAGUCAACCUGCCCUGGAGACAUGGACAACCCCGGGAAACUGGGAUUAAUCCGUGAUAGGUCAUCUCAUCUGGAGGGAGAGAUGGCUUAAAGGGAUGCGCGGGCUUCUUCUGUGUAUUUGCUCCAGGAUGGGACUGCGUCCGAUCAGGCUGUUGGCGGGGUAAUGGCCCACCAAGCCAGUAACCGGUACGGGCCUUGAGAGAGGUGGCCCGGAGAUGGACACUGAGAGAAGGGUCCAGGUCCUACGGGGCGCAGCAGGCGCGAAACCUUCGCAAUGCGCGCAAGCGUGACGAGGUUAAUCCGAGUGAUUUCCGCUGAGGAGACCUUUUGUCUGCUGUAAAUAGGCAGGCGAAUAAGGGGAGGGCAAGCCUGGUGUCAGCCGCCGCGGUAAUACCAGCUCCUCGAGUGGUCGGGGCGAUUAUUGGGCCUAAAGCAUCCGUAGCCGGUUCCGUAGGUCCUCUGUUAAAUCCAACCGCCCAACGGUUGACCUGCAGAGGAUACCGCGAGACU
rnacentral:rRNA from 1 species